AUUGAACGCUGGCGGCAUGCCUUACACAUGCAAGUCGAACGGUAACAGGGAGCUUGCUCCGCUGACGAGUGGCGAACGGGUGAGUAAUGUAUCGGAACGUACCUUUUAGUGGGGGAUAACGUAGCGAAAGUUACGCUAAUACCGCAUAUUCUCUGAGGAGGAAAGCAGGGGACCUUCGGGCCUUGCGCUAAUAGAGCGGCUGAUAUCAGAUUAGCUAGUUGGUGAGGUAAAGGCUCACCAAGGCGACGAUCUGUAGCGGGUCUGAGAGGAUGAUCCGCCACACUGGAACUGAGACACGGUCCAGACUCCUACGGGAGGCAGCAGUGGGGAAUAUUGGACAAUGGGGGGAACCCUGAUCCAGCCAUGCCGCGUGUGUGAAGAAGGCCUUAUGGUUAUAAAGCACUUUAAGCGAGGAGGAGGCUCUUUUGGUUAAUACCCAAGAUGAGUGGACGUUACUCGCAGAAUAAGCACCGGCUAACUCUGUGCCAGCAGCCGCAGUAA
rnacentral:rRNA from 1 species